GAUGAACGCUGGCGGCGUGCCUAAUACAUGCAAGUCGAGCGAACAGACGAGGAGCUUGCUCCUCCGACGUUAGCGGCGGACGGGUGAGUAACACGUGGAUAACCUACCUAUAAGACUGGGAUAACUUCGGGAAACCGGAGCUAAUACCGGAUAAUAUAUUGAACCGCAUGGUUCAAUAGUGAAAGACGGUUUUGCUGUCACUUAUAGAUGGAUCCGCGCCGCAUUAGCUAGUUGGUAAGGUAACGGCUUACCAAGGCGACGAUGCGUAGCCGACCUGAGAGGGUGAUCGGCCACACUGGAACUGAGACACGGUCCAGACUCCUACGGGAGGCAGCAGUAGGGAAUCUUCCGCAAUGGGCGAAAGCCUGACGGAGCAACGCCGCGUGAGUGAUGAAGGUCUUCGGAUCGUAAAACUCUGUUAUUAGGAAAGAACAAAUGUGUAAGUAACUAUGCACGUCUUGACGGUACCUAGUCAGAAAGCCACGGCUAACUACGUG
rnacentral:rRNA from 1 species